rnacentral:rRNA from 1 species
GACGGAGGAUGCAAGCGUUAUCCGGAAUUAUUGGGCGUAAAGCGUCCGCAGGUGGUUUAUCAAGUCUGCGGUCAAAGACCGGGGCUCAACCCUGGAAAGGCCGUGGAAACUGGUGAGCUAGAGUGCGGUAGGGGCAGAGGGAAUUCCCAGUGUAGCGGUGAAAUGCGUAGAUAUGCGGAGGAACACCGAUGGCGAAGGCAAUCCCCUGGGCCUGCACUGACGCUCAUGCACGAAAGCGUGGGGAGCAAACAGG